AGUGAACGCUGGCGGCGUGCCUAAUACAUGCAAGUCGAACGGAGUGGCGCACGGGUGAGUAAUGUAUAGCUAAUCUGCCCUCCACUAGAGGACAACAGUUGGAAACGACUGCUAAUACUCUAUAGUGUAGGAUGAGGCUAUAUUGUAUCAGCUAGUUGGUGAGGUAAUGGCUCACUAAGGCUAUGACGCAUAACUGGUUUGAGGGGAUGAUCAGUCAAACUGGAAGGGAGGCACGGUCCGGACUCCUACGGGAGGCAGCAGUAGGGAAUAUUGCUCAAUGGGCGAAACCCUGAAGCGGCAACGCGGCGUGGAGGAUGACACUUUUCGAGGCGUAAACUCCUUUUGUUAGGGAAGCGGUACCUAACGAAUAAGCACCGGCUAACUCCGUGCCAGCAGCCGCGGUAAUUC
rnacentral:rRNA from 1 species